rnacentral:rRNA from 1 species
UACGUAGGGUGCGAGCGUUGUCCGGAAUUAUUGGGCGUAAAGAGCUUGUAGGCGGUUUGUCGCGUCUGCUGUGAAAACUCGAGGCUCAACCUCGAGACGCCGGUGGAAACCAUCAGACUAGAGUCCGGAAGAGGAGAGUGGAAUUCCUGGUGUAGCGGUGAAAUGCGCAGAUAUCAGGAAGAACACCCGUGGCUAAGGCGGCUCUCUAGUACGGUACUGACGCUGAGACGCGAAAGCGUGGGGAGCGAACAGG